GGCCAUUCCGGGUGCCAGCGAAUGGCUGUAUAUCCGUCCGCCUAGAGAUGGAAACUUUGUGGAGCCGGUGAGAAUGUAUCUGCAGCAUCUGCAUACCUUUGAGUUGGCCAAUAAAUACGGCCAAUUGGUUAUGAAGGUGUCUGCAAGUAUGCAGCAAAGGAAUCCAUGGAACUUGUUGAUUCUCUACCAAAACUAAGGCACCUUUUAAAUUGAAUUUAUGAAGCAAGGGAUUUAUAAACGUGUUUACUGGUGCGGUAGAGUUGAGUGAGACUCCACUGCCUGCUGUCGGAGGCACCUAAGUGAAUUGGCCCGGAAUGAACCAACAUUAAUUUGAUUUGCUAGGCAGACUGGCUGGCUGGCUGGUGGUUAGUCCACUCCAAGGAUCACGAGCUCAUCCCUAAUGCAAAUGCCCUGCACGGUCUACACGCUCUGCACCUUGGCAUCCUGUCGUUGUCGUUUCCUGUUCCUGUCAGCCGGAGACUGGGAUCCUUGCACUUGAGGCAGAUUUAGU